CCUACGGGAGGCAGCAGUAAGGAAUAUUGGUCAAUGGAGGCAACUCUGAACCAGCCAUGCCGCGUGCAGGAAGACGGCCCUAUGGGUUGUAAACUGCUUUUGAACUAGAGAAAACCUUGGUACGUGUACCGAGUUGAUAGUAUAGUUAGAAUAAGCAUCGGCUAACUUCGUGCCAGCAGCCGCGGUAAGACGAAGGAUGCAAGCGUUAUCCGGAUUCAUUGGGUUUAAAGGGUGCGUAGGCGGACUGAUAAGUCAGUGGUGAAAUCUCUCAGCUUAACUGAGAAACUGCCAUUGAUACUGUUAGUCUAGAGUACAGAUAAUGUGGGCGGAAUAUGACAUGUAGUGGUGAAAUACUUAGAUAUGUCAUAGAACACCGAUUGCGAAGGCAGCUCACAAAACUGUAACUGACGCUGAGCACGAAGUAGCGGGAGUACAACAGAUAGAUACCUCGUAGUCGCACCGUAACGAUGAUACUCGUUGUUGGUCGUAUAUGACAGU
rnacentral:rRNA from 1 species